rnacentral:lncRNA from 1 species
GUCAGGGGAGUUCUGGGAGUUGUAGUUCCUCUUUCUCCUGCCAUCGUGCAUUCCCUCCGCCCCCUCCCCCAACCUCCCCACACACUUCAUCGCUCAACUGCCAGUGUCGUUGCCAUCAACAUAAACGACGGUAGUAAAUAAUGGCAGUAUGAUUACAUUCAUACUUUAUGUACCACCCUCUCAACAGUGUUGCAAAGGCUGUUAGGAUAUGGAGGAGGCCAAAGUGGCAAUUACUCAGACUGGCGUCCAAAUCUGGAAAUUCCCACACCAGCCUGUUCUCUCCACUUUGCUCCCUCUUCAGAGGGAAUUGGUUUGCAGGGAUUGUAGACUACAGUAAGGCUUCCCCAGAACUUGCAAACAGGGUUCAUUUACCCUCCAUGCAAACAAGGUCAGUAACUCCAGGACUGCAAUAGAAGCAGCCAAGAACAGAAAUAAUUUGAUACUCACAUCCUCAUUCUACAGAAUUUGAGCUUUGCUAAAGAAAACUGAAGUUCCUAUUGAGUCUGCUUUCCCCUUUCUCCCAUGUCUCAGCCGUUCAGAAUGUCAAUAAUUUACUCUAAGACAAC